rnacentral:rRNA from 1 species
UACAGAGGCCUCGAGCGUUAGGCGGAAUCACUGGGCUUAAAGCGUGUGUAGGCGGACUUCUAAGUACCUUGUGAAAUCCCACGGCUUACCCGUGGAACGGCUGGGUAUACUGGUUGUCUUGAGCCACUUAGGGGCUACCGGAACAAAUGGUGGAGCGGUGAAAUGCGUAGAUAUCAUUUGGAACGCCAAUGGUGAAGGCAGGUAGCUGGGAGUGUGCUGACGCUGAGACACGAAAGCCAGGGGAGCGAACGGG